AAGAGCCAAAGGAGGGCCAAGAGAAACCCUAAGUUCAUAAAAUUCUCAAAAUCAGAAGGAAAUUAAGAGCUCUAAUGGAUGCAUGAACCCUAAAGUCGAGUAAUCUAAGCUUGUUCAACGAUUGGUAUUAAGGAAGAGAGUUCAAGUCAAGCGAAGCAACAAGGGAAUCAAGAUCGAGGGAAAUCUCAAGUUUAAUGUCGAGCUUCGCCCGGUACGAACACACUUCAAAGCCUGUCAUGUGUUCCGCAACUUUUGUGAAGAAGAUCAUGUCAAAUAUAUUAUGGUCUUUUUAGUCAUGUCUAGUAGUUAAAUUUUAAAGUUCUAACAUGUUUGCCUUUUGAA